AGAAAAAACAAGGAACGCCAGCAAUGUAAGCAGUUAACACCUAGCACCCUACUACAUUUUACAGUAAAGAAACACCAGAAUGGGAGACUCUGAGAGACGGUCCCGUUUUCCAUACUUUACUCUGAAGCAACAAGAGAAAGGAAGAUGUUCAAGCUGGACAGGCCACAUGGAACCAUCGUGCUGAUGUCACCAGCAGGAGGAGCCGUUGGCAACCGUGGAAACGGAACACUCUACACCGGACAGCAGCUGCCUCCUUCAGCUCAGGAUGCCUGAAGGUACCACAUCCUUCCUCGAAGCCUAUUGCUUUGUGGAGUUUUGUUUCAAAAAAACCCCAGCAGAGCUAAUAUUCUCAAGGUCCAGAUUUUGAAACAAAGCUACUGAUUUUAGGAUAAGAUUACGGUUUGCCAGAAUGUAAAAGCUUUCAUGUUUUCAUGUCUGUUCAGAGAGUAUUGAGAGAAAAGGACAGGUAGAAGAGGUGAAGAUAGCAGCAGCAGAGAAUGAACUCAAUUUCCAUUUUCAUUCCCCCUAUGCACAGCAGAAGUUAAAGAACAUUGCCUGCUUGUGGGAAAGACAACCCUCAGGCUGUGUGAGGAUCAACUGUGCCUUCCAUCACAGCAAACCUCGUUAUAUCAAUGGACUUUUUCUGCCACCUACUAACAAUGCGCCAUUGCCACAGGCUGACCAAGAAGUGAUUCUGCCUCCAGCCCAGUGUCAAGGCUCACUCACACGUCCAGAGAAUACUGUAAUACCAAUUCACCCUCCACUGAUUAUAAACCUCAACGAUGAAGAGGAUGAUGAAGAUGAUGAU